rnacentral:lncRNA from 1 species
UUGGCUAGUUUGCAGUUAGUACUUGAACUGUAUGUUAGUGCACGGAGCUUUUCCUUUGUUUUCCCUUUGAAUAGUUUUAGUUUUGAUCUUUCGUUCUUUCUCUCUUACGUUCUAGCUUUAUAAUACGUUAUAGGUACAUACAUAUAGGUCCACAUUUUUAUUAUAAAGCAAGAGGAACAUCACCAGCAUGUUUCAAUUUUCAAUGCGAGAACUGUGAUGCCAUAAUGGCAGAAGCCACUUUCUUGUCUACAUCUCAAAUAAUAGAAAUUGCACGGGCGUGAAAUCUACGUACAGCAGUGAUGAGAUUCUGGAAUUCCAUUGUCUGCAAUGUCUACUCCUAAUCUCCUAUAAUUGAAGAGCAGAUGAAAGAAGCUGUAGUUUUGCAAAAUUUCAUGUUCGAUGAUGAUGCUGAUGAUUAUGAGAAUUCUCAAUUUCAACAACCUCCGGCCACUUCCUCCUUCAACGAUAAACUGUCGGUUCCUGCUGCCUAGAACCAUAUAUAAAGGAUAAUAUUUAUAUUUCUUGUCUCUACUAGAACGUAGUGGUCAUUUUAUAAUCACUCCUUCCAUUACCAACACACAAGCCAAGGGCUCAUGUGGGUAUCACACUCCAAAAAUAAUACUUCGACACUGCAGUAUUUCAGCACUUGUUUAUAACAAUGACGAUUUUCUAAGAGAAGAAUAGUUUGAAAAAAAUCCUAGUAUAGCAUAAAAUAACACCAAACAUAUUUUUUGCAGGCUUCAAAUAGAUUGAAUUAAGUUAUUUUCAAUGAGAGCAUUUAUUCAAAGGAGAGGAGCACAGAGGUGCGUGAAGCUACCUCGUUGUGAAGAGCAGACCGUUGGGUGUGUACUUCAGCGACUCGAGUGACAGUUUGUAUUGUAGCUCACAGGACUCUAAUAUUUUGUUAUUGACCAAGGAGCUCAGCAAAUCUGACAAUGAGUGUACUGAGGCUACAGACCGUUAGGUGUGUCUCAUAACCCCCCAUGGGCAAUUCUCCUGACGAAUAAUGUUGUAGAAAUUCACUUAGACCGCGGGACUAUAUUUUAUUAUAGAACUAUUGGACUAUUGUGAAUUUCAACAUUUCUACAUGAAAAUAAUCUUUCUUCACUUGGAGCCUACAAAUUAAAAUGAGUUACAUAUUUAAAUUCAAGUGCAAUUAUAUUCUCUUUUCCAUAGUUAAUGUCUUGUUUAGAAUUCACAAUAAUUUUAUUCCACCGAAAUAUAUAUUUAUAUUAAUUCUAAACAUAAAUAAAUUUUAAUAUUCAUUAUUACUCAUAAUAACCAAUAUGAGAGAAAUGUAGAUUCAAUUAUAUAUUUUCAAUUCUAAACAUCCAAAAUCAAAACGGAGUUUUCAUCAGUCAAAAGCUUGUCAGUAUUCUUGUCAGUUUUAUUUUUUAUAAUAAUAGUUUACAACAUACAAUAUAAUUAUGGUAGUAUUUCAGUCGAAAUUCUGAAUGUGAAUGUGAAACUUGUUGCUUCCUUUUUCAAUAGAAGAAUACUAUCAAUUAUUAUUAUUUAUAAUAUUAGAAUUAUGAAUAAUAAUAAUCAUUAUUGAUAAAAUCUUAAACAUUUUAUCGAAUAAAUUGAAAUUAAUGGGGUUUAUUAAAAUUUAUUUUCAUUGGUGUCAACGUUCUAAAAAUAAAGGUGGACCAAUAACGGUAUUGUCAGUUCCACAUAAUUUAUUUUAGCCGAACUUGAAGUUUCAAUGCACUAGGGCAUCAUCUUCAGUGGUAUUUUUCUCAAAGAAUGAUCUAAGAUGGUCUCUAUCUAAAAGACCACUCACUGAAGAUGAUGCCUUGAAACUCAAGUUUGGCUCAAAUAAAUUAUGUGAAACGGACAAUAUCGUUUUUAUUCCACCUCAAUAUGGAGAAAUUCCACAAUAUCUCUGUUCAUAGUGUAUAAAAGAUGUUUUAAUGUUUACAUGAGUAUAAUUAAUUGUAGAUUUAAGUGAAAUUUUUAAUAUUUUUGGCGAUUGUGAAGGAAGAUUUUUGUUUUGAUUUGUAUUUUGAAGUUAAUUAAUCUGAUAAAUUCAAAAUUGUAGAAGAUACAUUUUUUUGGACUCAAAAUAGUGUGUGAAUUAAGUUAUAAUUUUUACAAAACCUCUAGACUAUGUAUUCCAAAUUGAGGUUUAGAGCAGUUUUGGGCGAAUGCCUGUUUUUUUACCUGGAUUGUAUUUGUAUAUGAAUAAAUAAAUAAGUUCUAAAAAUAG